UACAGAGGUCUCAAGCGUUGUUCGGAUUCAUUGGGCGUAAAGGGUGCGUAGGCGGCGCGGUAAGUCGGGUGUGAAAUCUCGGAGCUUAACUCCGAAACUGCAUUCGAUACUGCCGUGCUUGAGGACUGGAGAGGAGACUGGAAUUUACGGUGUAGCGGUGAUAUGCGUAGAUAUCGGGAGGAACACCAGUGGCGAAGGCGGCUCUCUGGACCGUAACUGACGCUAAGACGCGAAAGCGUGGGGAUCAAACAGG
rnacentral:rRNA from 1 species